GGGUGCUACUACAUGCCUAAGGUUAAUAGGUCCACUAUCAUUAGUCUACCAAAGCUUCAAAAUGAUCUAAUAUUCUACCCAUCACUCUUUAUUGAUGAAUUGUAGUGGAGGUAGAAUAAGAGCAGUGAGCCUAGGACUUAGAUGCGGACAUAACUGAUUGCAGUAGAAAUGUGAAAGGAUCCACUAGAAUUAAUCCAAAAAAAGAUGAGGACAUAGAAAUAGCCAAAGGUCAAUUGAG
rnacentral:lncRNA from 1 species